rnacentral:rRNA from 1 species
GUGACUGCGUACCUUUUGUAUAAUGGGUCAGCGACUUAUAUUCUGUAGCAAGGUUAACCGAAUAGGGGAGCCGGAGGGAAACCGAGUCUUAAUUGGGCGUUAAGUUGCAGGGUAUAGACCCGAAACCCGGUGAUCUAGCCAUGGGCAGGUUGAAGGUUGGGUAACACUAACUGGAGGACCGAACCGACUAAUGUUGAAAAAUUAGCGGAUGACCUGUGGCUGGGGGUGAAAGGCCAAUCAAACCGGGAGAUAGCUGGUUCUCCCCGAAAGCUAUUUAGGUAGCGCCUCGUGAAUUCAUCUCCGGGGGUAGAGCACUGUUUCGGCUAGGGGGCCAUCCCGGCUUACCAACCCGAUGCAAACUGCGAAUACCGGAGAAUGUUAUCACGGGAGACACACGGCGGGUGCUAACGUCCGUCGUGAAGAGGGAAACAACCCAGACCGCCAGCUAAGGUCCCAAAGUCAUGGUUAAGUGGGAAACGAUGUGGGAAGGCCCAGACAGCCAGGAUGUUGGCUUAGAAGCAGCCAUCAUUUAAAGAAAGCGUAAUAGCUCACUGGUCGAGUCGGCCUGCGCGGAAGAUGUAACGGGGCUAAACCAUGCACCGAAGCUGCGGCAGCGACACUCAGGUGUUGUUGGGUAGGGGAGCGUUCUGUAAGCCUGUGAAGGUG